CGAAAGGCGUAGUCGAUGGGAAGCAGGUUAAUAUUCCUGCACCCGGAGGUAGUGACGAAUGCCGUAAAUCGUCAUCCCUUAUCGGAUUGGGAUGGCGGUGAUGGUGUUCCGGGAAAUAGCUCCUCCGUACGGACCGUACCCGAAACCGACACAGGUGGUCAGGUAGAGUAUACCAAGGCGCUUGAGAGAACUAUGCUGAAGGAACUCGGCAAAAUGCUCCCG
rnacentral:rRNA from 1 species